CAUGCAGUCGUGCGGAGGUGCCUUUUGGCACCUCAGCGGCAACGGGUGAGUAACACGUGAGUAACCUGCCCUCAGGAAGGGGAUAACCCUCCGAAAGGGGGGCUAAUACCCUAUAAUGUCAGUCACCACUAAGGUGGCUGACCAAAGGUGGCCUCUGCUCUGCAUGCUACCGCCUGAGGAGGGGCUCGCGGCCCAUCAGGUAGUUGGUGGGGUAACGGCCUACCAAGCCUAUGACGGGUAGCCGGCCUGAGAGGGUGUCCGGCCACAGUGGGACUGAGACACGGCCCACACCCCUACGGGGGGCAGCAGUGGGGAAUCGUGGGCAAUGGGCGAAAGCCUGACCCCGCGACGCCGCGUGGAGGAAGAAGCCCUUCGGGGUGUAAACUCCUGUCAGGGGGGAAGAUGCUCACAGAGGUGAAUAAUCUCUGUGGGUGACGGUACCCCCAGAGGAAGGGACGGCUAACUACGUGCCAGCAGCCGCGGUAAUACGUAGGUCCCGAGCGUUGCGCGAAUUCACUGGGCGUAAAGCGUCCGCAGCCGGAUGGGUAAGCGGUUCGUCAAAGCCCACCGCUCAACGGUGGAAAGGCGUACCGAACUGCCCAUCUGAGGCACGCUCAGGCAGGCGGAAUUCCCGGUGUAGCGGUGAAAUGCGUAGAUAUCGGGAGGAACACCGAAGGCGAAGGCAGCCUGCUGGGGCUGUUCUGACGGUCAGGGACGAAAGCUGGGGGAGCAAACCGGAUUAGAUACCCGGGUAGUCCCAGCCGUAAACCAUGGGCGCUAGACGUCGUCCGUAAGGGCGGUGUCUCGGCUAACGCGUUAAGCGCCCCGCCUGGGGAGUACGGGCGCAAGCCUGAAACUCAAAGGAAUUGGCGGGGCCCGCACAACCGGUGGAGCGUCUGGGUUCAAUUCGAUGCUAACCGAAAAACCUUACCCGGGCUUGACAUGAUGGGAAACCUCUGCGAAAGCGGAGGGGUGCCGU
rnacentral:rRNA from 1 species